rnacentral:sRNA from 1 species
CGCGGCCGUGGGGAGGCGGCCCCGCAGCGGCUGCCUGACUAGGGGUCCGCGGUGACCCCUAGGGGAAAGAUGUGGGGGACUGAGGUGGCAGGAGCGGGCGCUGUGCAAUAGAAGGGCUCCAGGGAGUCUGUCUACAAAACUGGUGAGACAUUUCAGGACCUUGGACAGGGCCCGCGGCCAUGCUGGUUCUAAGGACUCUGUCAACUGUGGGAUCUUCCACGAUGGAAUCAAAGAUGCUUCUGAGGGAUUGGCCAACAAGGUGGUGCCUACACCAUUUGGUUUUGUGGAUACCCAGAUAAUCCGUUAGGAUGGAGAGUUACCGUUCAAGACAAGAUGUGAACAUUUGGCAGACCGUGUGAUAUACAGCUCAGUAAUAAAGGCACUUACAAUCAAACCUGA